rnacentral:rRNA from 1 species
UACGGGGGGGGCAAGCGUUGUUCGGAAUUACUGGGCGUAAAGGGCGCGUAGGCGGCCUACUAAGUCGGACGUGAAAUCCCUCGGCUCAACCGAGGAACUGCGUCCGAUACUGGCAGGCUGGAAUCCGGGAGAGGGAUGUGGAAUUCCAGGUGUAGCGGUGAAAUGCGUAGAUAUCUGGAGGAACACCGGUGGCGAAGGCGGCAUCCUGGACCGGUAUUGACGCUGAUGCGCGAAAGCGUGGGUAGCAAACAGG